CGGAGGAGCACGAAGGUUGGCUAAUCCUGGUCGGACAUCAGGAGGUUAGUGCAAUGGCAUAAGCCAGCUUGACUGCGAGCGUGACGGCGCGAGCAGGUGCGAAAGCAGGUCAUAGUGAUCCGGUGGUUCUGAAUGGAAGGGCCAUCGCUCAACGGAUAAAAGGUACUCCGGGGAUAACAGGCUGAUACCGCCCAAGAGUUCAUAUCGACGGCGGUGUUUGGCACCUCGAUGUCGGCUCAUCACAUCCUGGGGCUGAAGUAGGUCCCAAGGGUAUGGCUGUUCGCCAUUUAAAGUGGUACGCGAGCUGGGUUUAGAACGUCGUGAGACAGUUCGGUCCCUAUCUGCCGUGGGCGCUGGAGAACUGAGGGGGGCUGCUCCUAGUACGAGAGGACCGGAGUGGACGCAUCACUGGUGUUCGGGUUGUCAUGCCAAUGGCACUGCCCGGUAGCUAAAUGCGGAAGAGAUAAGUGCUGAAAGCAUCUAAGCACGAAACUUGCCCC
rnacentral:rRNA from 1 species